AGGAGUGUAGUUUAAUGGUAAAACAAAAGUCUCCAAAACUUUUGUCGUGGGUUCGAUUCCUGUCACUCCUGCCA
rnacentral:tRNA from 1 species